UACGUAGGGGGCGAGCGUUGUCCGGAUUUAUUGGGCGUAAAGAGCUCGUAGGCGGUUUGGCAAGUCGGGUGUGAAAACUCCGGGCUCAACUCGGAGACGCCACUCGAUACUGCCAUGACUCGAGUCCGGAAGAGGCGAGUGGAAUUCCUGGUGUAGCGGUGAAAUGCGCAGAUAUCAGGAGGAACACCGAUGGCGAAGGCAGCUCGCUGGGACGGUACUGACGCUGAGGCGCGAAAGCGUGGGGAGCAAACAGG
rnacentral:rRNA from 1 species